rnacentral:rRNA from 1 species
UACAGAGGUCCCAAGCGUUGUUCGGAUUCAUUGGGCGUAAAGGGUGCGUAGGUGGUGCCGUAAGUUGGGUGUGAAAUCUCGGGGCUUAACCCCGAAACUGCAUUCAAUACUGCGGUGCUUGAGUACUGGAGAGGAGAUUGGAAUUCACGGUGUAGCAGUGAAAUGCGUAGAUAUCGUGAGGAAGACCAGUGGCGAAGGCGGAUCUCUGGACAGUUACUGACACUGAGGCACGAAGGCCAGGGGAGCAAACGGG